CCUUAUUAUUCUCAUUACUACUAAACCCUAUAUAGUUCAGCCCCUCUAUCCGUUGCCGUUGGCCAUGGUCUUCUUCUCCACGUCAUGCUUGAAGUUGUGGCAUUGUCGUACCCGUCCUCAUCCCCAAGUUGGUAUCCGUUGUCGUCAUUGUCGGCCGGAAGAACGUCUCUGUCCCCGCGGCAAGCCCUUGUCCUCGAGCCCCUUUUCUCUCUGUCCGAGGCCCCGUCGUUCCUCUCUCGCUUUCAAUACCAUUCCUCCCGCUGCCGCAAACCACCACCUGCUCCACAAACUUGCACGAAUGGUGUUCAAAACUCAGAGUUGAACGAUGAAGACUUAAACCCAGAAGCAGAUGAGGUAGAUUCUUUUGAGCAAUACAUUGAUAACCUGUUUGCUGCAUCGGAGGCUCAAAAGCACAAGGGAUGCAAGACCACAGAAUUUUGGGAUAAUCUGAUGGUACAAUCAAACAAGCUCAUUUGAGAGUGAAGGAAGCUAUGAAGCCACCUAAUGGUAGAAAGAUCGUACUCAGGUUCAACGAGAACUUGCAACCAAUUGGAGCUUAAGCUGGUAUAUUGAGCGGCGUUCUCAGAUUGCUAGGAUCUGACUACACCAAAUUCCUAAUUUGCGAGAAAGACUGGAGAAAGGUUUGCUCCAAGGACAAGAUUUAUAAUGAAUGUGUAAAGAAAAUGUUCCAUUUUGAUGAAGAUAAUGGGAGGAAUUAUCAAGCGUACAAUUUUAAAAAUGUUAGGAAGGGCUUGGAAGGAAACGAGGAAUAGGUUGUACCAUGAACAUGAUCAUUAUGACUCACAACUGACUAUUAAACAAAAUAUUAAAGGCCGCCCACCGUGGAUUACUGCGGAUCAUUGGAGAUGGUAUCUUGAUUAUCACAAUAGUGAAGACGCAAAGAAGAAGUGUAGGAAAAAUGCUGUGAAUCAAUCAAAACAGCUAUAUACUCACAUUAGCAGAUCAAAAAUCUUGGCAAGGCUCGGAGAAGAAGAGGAAAGAAUUGCAGAGAUUGAGCAACAUGAUGAAUCCUCUAGACUAUUGUCUCAGAAUGAUUCACUUGCUCAAGCUCUCGGAAAGGAGCACUUGGGUAGAGUGCGUGGCAUGGGUACCAUACCGACUUCUAGUCAAGUCUUCGUUACAAAUUCCCAUCAGCCCAGCAAUGGAGCUUAAAGAGAGGAAACCCAAAGGGUGUUGCUUGAAUUACAAGCAAAGCUAGCGACCGAAAAAUUAAAAAGAAAGGCAGUAAAGGAUGAAGUAGCAUCCGAAAAAAUAAAAAGGCAGGCAGUGGAGGAUGAAGUAGCAGCCGGGAAGAUAAAUAUGCAGGCGAUGGAGAGUGCUCGGAGAUGUAUAAUUCAAGGACAAGAUGGGGAGCUGCCAUUAGACGUCCCUACAUGGAUAAAUUUGUUGGAGGGACAUAGUGGAAAGUAAAUCUUAAGAUUGAAUUUUUUUUUAAUAUACACUUUUUUAUUGUUGACUAUGCAACUCUUUUUAAGGAAUACACUUUAUUGAU